UUUGAUCCUGGCUCAGGAUGAACGCUGGCGGUAUGCUUAACACAUGCAAGUCGAACGGAUGUUUUCGGACAUUAGUGGCGGACGGGUGAGUAACGCGUGAGAAUCUGCCUAUGGGUUGGGGACAACAGAUGGAAACGUCUGCUAAUACCCAAUGUGCCGAGAGGUAAAAGCUUUAGUGCCUGUAGAUGAGCUUGCGUCCGAUUAGCUAGUUGGUUGGGUAAAGGCUGGCCAAGGCGACGAUCGGUAGCUGGUCUGAGAGGAUGAUCAGCCACACUGGGACUGAGACACGGCCCAGACUCCUACGGGAGGCAGCAGUGGGGAAUUUUCCGCAAUGGGCGAAAGCCUGACGGAGCAAUACCGCGUGCGGGACGAAGGCUCUUGGGUCGUAAACCGCUUUUGUUAGGGAAGAAGAACUGACGGUACCUAACGAAUCAGCAUCGGCUAACUCCGUGCCAGCAGCCGCGGUAAUACGGGGGAUGCAAGCGUUAUCCGGAAUUAUUGGGCGUAAAGCGUCCGCAGGUGGUUUAUCAAGUCUGCUGUCAAAGCGUGGGGCUCAACCCCAUAAAGGCAGUGGAAACUGAGAGACUAGAGUACGGUAGGGGUAGCGGGAAUUCCCAGUGUAGCGGUGAAAUGCGUAGAUAUUGGGAAGAACACCAGCGGCGAAGGCGCGCUACUGGGCCGAAACUGACACUCAUGGACGAAAGCUAGGGGAGCGAAAGGGAUUAGAUACCCCUGUAGUCCUAGCUGUAA
rnacentral:rRNA from 1 species